UACGUAGGGGGCUAGCGUUGUCCGGAUUUAUUGGGCGUAAAGCGCGUGUAGGCGGCCCGGUAAGUCCGCUGUGAAAGUCCAGGGCUCAACCCUGGGAUGCCGGUGGAUACUGUCGGGCUCGAGUCCGGAAGAGGCGAGUGGAAUUCCGUGGUGUAGCGGUGAAAUGCGCAGAUAUCAGGAGGAACACCAAUGGCGAAGGCAGCUCGCUGGGACGUGGACUGACGCUGAGACGGCGAAAGCGUGGGGAGCAAACAGG
rnacentral:rRNA from 1 species